UCGGUUCUCAUUAAUCGGAGCUGGAGCUGGCUUAGGGGGCAGCACGCCCAGGGCAUCGGGAGGGCUUUCAGCUUGGCAAAACCCAACCAGACUUCUUUAAUUCUCCAAAUCCAACCGAGGUGGCAGCUGAGCUGCAAAAGGAAGGUGGGGGGCGGCUCUCGCACAAAGGGAUGCCCAUUUGCAGCAAGACCUCUCCCUCCACCUAAAUGCAAAAGGAGAAGGGAAGGUGCUGUAUAAGAUGCGUGCAAAGGCAUCGUGCUGGAGGGCUGUGCUGAGAGCUAAUCAGGUCAAUGCAUUUUUAACGUGGCAUAGGAAAUCUUUAUGUUUUUUGUCAGUCUCAUUCUUCUCCCCGCUCCCUCUGUAGGGGGGCUGAAUUAUUUAAUGCUGAAUAUGAAGUGGAGCUGUUUUCCCUCUGCCGGGCUGCUGACGGUGCGUUUUGGCCUGGGAAGAUUGGCAGAUGGCUGUUCUCUGGGGCGGGUGCAGGGGGAACCCAUAAUGCUGAGCAAAUUACCCACUUACAGCCAGAUUUACAGAAUCACUGAGAUCCCACUUAAAGGCAUCUCAAUAAAUAGGCCAGAUUUGCUCGAGCGUGCAGCACCCAGCGGCUCGGAGAUACACCCUGAUGGAGCACUCCCAGCCUCUCUGCGUGGAGUUUUUCCAUUUCUUUGCAUGCAGCAGCAAAAUCUGCUCCUCUCACAUCGUGCCUGGCCUGCCUGGAGGCAUCCUGGGAUGGAGUGAUGGCGUUGGUGGGCAAAGGAAGGGCUCCAGGUUGGAGCACGCGGGGCGAUGCGUGGACUCAGCCCCAGUUGGGUAUCACGAAACGUGUGUUGAUGGGCAGAGGUCGGGCAUGAUGGUGAUCACACAACAGGUGAAUCAACACAGAGGGCUGCUCUGCGUAUCAGGGUUUAUCUUCUCCAUUAAUGGCUUUCUAAAUUGGUGGCAGUGGAGCAAAAAAACCCAAUUUGAACUCAGAGCAUGCAUGAUUACUAUUGUAAUAACCUUGGCUAAUAAGAAUAUGAUGUGGUGUUAGGCUAGGAAAGAAAACACAUUUCUCAUUAGCUUUUUGAUUAAUUACUCCACAUAAUUUCCUAGGGGGACAAGCCUGGGACUGAUUGCCUUUGCUUUUGACGCGCAGAAGUGGUUUACCUUAACUUAAUAAUUUUCUCAGUGACAUUUUAAUGGCAGCCCUCAGUUCAGCUCUGGUUGGCUGCAGGCUGUGCUCCCACUCUGGGCAGGGGGUGGUGCCCUCUCCCAGCCCCAUAUGGCGCCGUAUAGCCGCAUAUGGCCCAGUCUGGGCUCAGCAGAGGUGUUUUGCUUUAGUACCUGGGAGUCUGACAGCUGUAGUGCCAUGUGAGCACUGCCAGGAAUCCAGCUGCUGGAAGGCAGCUGGAUAAGUUUACAUAUAGAAGCGACAGAUUUCCUUCCAUGCCUUAUAAUGCAAAUAUGAGACAGGAGCGAAAGUAGAUCUCUUGGUUUCUGUUGCUGGAAAUUGAGUUAUGCUUUGGAUUUCUCCAUGAUAACAUCACGCAGAACGUUGAUGUCUUGUUGUUGCAGGUGGUGCUUUGUCAUAUGGAGUGUGACGGGGGGAGGCACGGGCACUGCUGGGCCAUGGCCCCACGUGUCCCACGCUGAGAUGUGCUGCAAAGCGAAGUGACCCGCCGUGGCUGGCGGCUUUUACGCCGUAAUUAAAACAUUGGCGAGUCCAUACAAAUUUCCACUAACUGAAAUGUCAGGGUAAUUCUCACCCUGCUGCCGUGACAUUUCUGGGGGCAUUGUCUGAGAGCGGAUGGCGUGCUUCUGCGAGCUGCCUUCCCCUGGUCUUAUUGAGCUUUGUGUUACUUUGGUGCUCCCCAGGACCUUUAUCCCACGGCUCAUCCGCACCUGGGGGCUCAUAGAACUAAAAGUAGGGCCUGGCCUUGCUGGGAGUCUGCCAAGCAAAAGGGCAGAGCUGCAGAGAACAGCCUCUAAAUGGAAACCGGAGCACAGCAUCCUCUGAGCACAGGUGAGGGGCAGGCAGGGGUGCACAGAGGAUGUGCUCUCAGUGCAGUAACCCUGCAGGAUGAGCGCUGUGCGUGCACUGGGGGUUACCUGCAAGUGAUGGACCCAUGGUGUGCACAACUGCUGAAAGCAGGAGGUGGGCAAAGCCUCCCUGUGUGCACGGGGGGGGUGGUGUGUCACACCUCAGCACUGCAGAGUUGCUGGCUGGGUGCAGGGAGCGUAAGCGGCGGCGAUAUUUAUGUUUCCGCCUAAAAGCCUGGAUCAAAGCAGACACUUUAAUCUACUCAACAACAACUCAAGGAUUAAAAAGUUGCAGGCAAAUCACAGCCCUAAAUUGGUAAUAUAUUUUUGCUUGUCAGUUGACAAAUCAUUCUGUAAAUCCGUUCUGCGGCUUUCUGUAUUCCCUGUAGCAGGAAGGGAUUUGCCAACCCCAACCGCUGUCUCUCAGGAGGUGGCACACAGGAGGGGCACUGCUUUCCCACUGGGACCAGUUCUACGUGUUCACACUGACUGCUCGGUUGGGGAGCAGCGUGCCAGGGCCAUCCCCUACUUAUAUGUUCUCUACUGCUCCAGUUGUUGUUUCUUUCUUUCCGCCAUGCACAUCUCUCUCCCCAUUGCAGUUAGGGGCUGGUUGCAUGCUGGGGACACUGCUGCCCCAUCCCCUCUCGAAACUGCUGUGACUUCUGUUUGCCAGAAUGUUUCAUUUUCAAACAAAGUAAUUACUAAUUAAUUGGCGAGGAGCUUUAUUUCUAAUCCCUUGGCUCCUAGGAGGGAAAUCUGCCUGUUUUCUGGCCGGACGUCUGUGGCGGUGCUUGAUGGCUGCACCAUCUGGCGGGCUGGAAAUAAUUAGCAGGUGUCCGGUGUGGGAGCAGGUAAUUGCUGAUGGAGAAAUCUGUAUAUUUCUGCAUAUGUUUGUGGAAGGAACAGCCCAGCCGGGCUGCACGAGGCAGGGAUACAGGCUGCGGGGUGGGCCGACAGCCGCUGGCUGCGUCCAGGGAGCGCCGCUUUGCUCUGCGCUAACAUUUGAGGUGGAUUUAGGGCUUGGUGCAGCAAAGCCACUGUUAUCUCCGAAGGGCCCUUAGGAUAAACACAGUGGCUUGGUGCUAAAGCCUCUGCCCGCUGCAGCGAGCUGCUCUGCGUGAGCGUCCCCCACUUUGUCCUCCUCCAUCUCUAUCCCUCCCCAAAGCCCACCGAGCGUUCCUCCUGGAGCUGGGAAGGGGAGGAGGCGCUGAUUCAAAGGGGCUUCUCCUUAUUGGCUUCUUUUUGUUAGGAUUCUUCUCUCUUCUGGCCAGUGCCAGGCGAGUUGAUGAAUUAGCCCAAUAUAUAUUCUGUCUGGGAAGAAAACACAUAUCAUAUAUAUCUUUGACAAGUUAUUAUUCUUCCUUAUCAGGAUAUGUGUGCAUCUCGCCAUGCUAUAACUCACCCUGCGCGUCGCUUGUGGGAUGAGACAGGAGGAGUGUGGCAGGUCCUGAAAGCUCCUGUAUCCCUCAGCAGGGUCUGAAAGCGUGUGUGUGCUCUGAGCAGGAUGAGCCCUUACGAUCACAGAGUGCUUUGAGUUGGAAGGGACGCUUACAGGCCGCCUGGUGCCACUCCCUGCAGUGCACAGGGACAGCCACAGCUCCAGCAGUGCUCAGAGCCCCGUCCAGCCUGACCUUGGCUGUCUCCAAGCUCUUGCUAUUUGCUCGCAUUGCUCAAAUGAGGGAUGCUGUGCUGGGGUCUCAUUGUCCCCAGGAGAGGAGCAGCUUCCUGCACCCAGCAUGCUGGGCAGGAGCUGGGGAGCACCAGCAGCAUCCCUGCCAGGAUGGGCACAUCUGGAAGGCAGAAAGUCCCCACCGCUCCCCAGCCCUGCUGCAGUGGCUUUAAUGUUUAACUUAUUAAGAUAAUAGCUGUUCCAUCUGCGAUGGUUUGAAACAUGAUCUAACAGGAAUCUUCUAACAAAAGUUGCUAAGCAGCUCUGACAUGAUUUACUAAUAGACUCCGAAUGUGCUGUAACUGAG
ensembl:lncRNA